rnacentral:misc_RNA from 1 species
UAAUGGCUUGUCGGCUGGG